AGCUAUUUCUUCCUGCUGGUUUGUCCACCUUCAUUACCUCAGUGGAGGACCAAGGAGACUGAGUAUGCAGCUUUGGUCUCUGAGGACAGACAGCAACUUCUGGACAGUUCAGAUGACGAGGAGCCCGAGAGCUCCACCACAGAAGACCAACCCACCGGGCCUCUCAGUUUCAGAGAGAGACUGAGUGUCAUCAGAGGCUUGUGGAGGUUUGUGCUUCCACUGGGAGUGGUCUACUUAACCGAGUAUUUCAUCAACCAGGGUUUGGUGAGUCCUCUGGUGCCCUCUAGCAGCACACUCAGCUCACUGCAUGCUAU